AGUGAACGCUGGCGGUAGGCCUAACACAUGCAAGUCGAACGGCAGCACAGUAAGCUCUUGCUCUUACGGGUGGCGAGUGGCGGACGGGUGAGGAAUACAUCGGAAUCUACUUUUUCGUGGGGGAUAACGUAGGGAAACUUACGCUACUACCGCACACGACCUACGGGUGAAAGCAGGGGAUAUUCGGACCUUGCGCGAUUGAAUUAGCCGAUGUCGGAUUAGCUAGUUGGCGGGGUAAAGGCCCACCAAGGCGACGAUCCGUAGCUGGUCUGAGAGGAUGAUCAGCCACACUGGAACUGAGACACGGUCCAGACUCCUACGGGAGGCAGCAGUGGGGAAUAUUGGACAAUGGGCGCAAGCCUGAUCCAGCCAUACCGCGUGGGUGAAGAAGGCCUUCGGGUUGUAAAGCCCUUUUGUUGGGAAAGAAAAGCAGCAGGUUAAUACCCCGCUGUUCUGACGGUACCCAAAGAAUAAGCACCGGCUAACUUCGUG
rnacentral:rRNA from 1 species